rnacentral:rRNA from 1 species
UACGUAGGGUGCGAGCGUUGUCCGGAAUUAUUGGGCGUAAAGGGCUCGUAGGCGGUUUGUCGCGUCGGGAGUGAAAACCAGGUGCUUAACACCUGGCUUGCUUUCGAUACGGGCAGACUAGAGGUAUGCAGGGGAGAACGGAAUUCCUGGUGUAGCGGUGAAAUGCGCAGAUAUCAGGAAGAACACCGGUGGCGAAGGCGGCUCUCUGGGCCUUACCUGACGCUGAGGAGCGAAAGCGUGGGUAGCGAACAGG